rnacentral:rRNA from 1 species
UACGUAGGGUGCAAGCGUUGUCCGGAAUUACUGGGCGUAAAGAGCUCGUAGGCGGUUUGUCGCGUCGUCUGUGAAAACCAGCAGCUCAACUGUUGGCUUGCAGGCGAUACGGGCAGACUUGAGUAUUUCAGGGGAGACUGGAAUUCCUGGUGUAGCGGUGAAAUGCGCAGAUAUCAGGAGGAACACCGGUGGCGAAGGCGGGUCUCUGUGAAAUAACUGACGCUGAGGAGCGAAAGCGUGGGUAGCGAACAGG